rnacentral:rRNA from 1 species
AGCGAACGCUGGCGGCAGGCCUCACACAUGCAAGUCGAACGAACCCUUCGGGGUUAGUGGCGGACGGGUGAGUAACACGUGGGAACGUGCCUUUAGGUUCGGAAUAACUCAGGGAAACUUGUGCUAAUACCGAAUGUGCCCUUCGGGGGAAAGAUUUAUCGCCUUUAGAGCGGCCCGCGUCUGAUUAGCUAGUUGGUGAGGUAAUGGCUCACCAAGGCUACGAUCAGUAGCUGGUCUGAGAGGAUGACCAGCCACAUUGGGACUGAGACACGGCCCAAACUCCUACGGGAGGCAGCAGUGGGGAAUCUUGCGCAAUGGGCGAAAGCCUGACGCAGCCAUGCCGCGUGGAUGAUGAAGGUCUUAGGAUUGUAAAAUCCUCUCACCGGUGAAGAUAAUGACUGUAGCCGGAGAAGAAGCCCCGGCUAACUUCGUGCCAGCCGCCGCCGUAAGAC